rnacentral:rRNA from 1 species
AUUGAACGCUGGCGGCAGGCCUAACACAUGCAAGUCGAACGGUAACAGGAAGCAGCUUGCUGCUUCGCUGACGAGUGGCGGACGGGUGAGUAAUGUCUGGGAAGCUGCCUGAUGGAGGGGGAUAACUACUGGAAACGGUAGCUAAUACCGCAUAAUGUCGCAAGACCAAAGAGGGGGACCUUCGGGCCUCUUGCCAUCGGAUGUGCCCAGAUGGGAUUAGCUUGUUGGUGGGGUAACGGCUCACCAAGGCGACGAUCCCUAGCUGGUCUGAGAGGAUGACCAGCCACACUGGGACUGAGACACGGUCCAGACUCCUACGGGAGGCAGCAGUGGGGAAUAUUGCACAAUGGGCGCAAGCCUGAUGCAGCCAUGCCGCGUGUAUGAAGAAGGCCUUCGGGUUGUAAAGUACUUUCAGCGGGGAGGAAGGGAGUAAAGUUAAUACCUUCGCUCAUUGACGUUACCCGCAGAAGAAGCACCGGCUAACUCCGUG